UACGAAGGGGGCUAGCGUUGCUCGGAAUUACUGGGCGUAAAGGGCGCGUAGGCGGAUAUCUAAGUUGGGGGUGAAAUCCCGGGGCUCAACCUCGGAAUUGCCUUCAAAACUGGAUAUCUUGAGUUCGGGAGAGGUGAGUGGAACUCCGAGUGUAGAGGUGAAAUCCGUAGAUAUUCGGAAGAACACCAGUGGCGAAGGCGACUCACUGGCCCGAUACCGACGCUGAGGCGCGAAAGCGUGGGGAGCAAACAGG
rnacentral:rRNA from 1 species